UGAAGACCUAGAGAUCACUUUAAUCUUACAAGCACAUUCUUCAGAUUGUCGUGUGGGUGGGUAACUUCCGCCAGACUUUUCUGGAGAUGGCUAAUCCAGCCGUGGGAUGUGGUUUCUUCUAACAGCCAGUCAGGAAAAUCUUGCUUCUCAAACUCCUGUCUUGACCCCUUCCUGAACUUUGCCUCCUGGAUCUUGAGGUCUGCCUUCUGUGGAAGAGAAAUACUAGAAUCAAUGAACUGUGAACUAGAGCCCUGGGAUUAUCAACAGCCAGCUGAAAUUUUGAGAGCCACCUUAUAGAAAGCCUAACAGCAAAGACUGGAGAGAGGCUUCCAGCCAACAGCCAGCAAGGAAUUGAAGCCCUCAGUCCAAUAGCAGUGAGGAAUUGAAUCCUGCCAACAGCCUCGUGGACCGACUGCUUCAUGCUGGGCUUCAGACAUGAGAGGCUAGGAGUAGGAGGCAUGCCUUGUUCAAAGGUCUUAAAUGUGGGAAAUAGUCUACAGUUUGGAAGACACCAGAGAAAAAUGCUCCACAGCUCGCCCUGGUGACUCACUACAACUUAUGGGAAGAUGUGAGAUUAUUCUGUAUUCUAAUGUAUGUUAGAAGGCACACUCCACCCAAAGCCUUCCUGUGUGUUCCUCCCUGUGAGCUCACAUCCCGUUCACCAGCUGACUGGGAAGGGAAGUCAGGACCAGCCCUGACCCCAUCACACCAUCAUAACCUCGGGAUGGCAGGGCUGGAAGGCACCUCAGACGUCAUCCUUUGCAGACUCUUCAUUUUACAGUGAGAGGCAUGACGUGUCCACAGCUGGUUAGUGCCAAAGCCUGGGACAGGCUUCACAUUGUCCAGCUCUUAGUCAGAGCACUGUUGACAAUGUCUGCCUUCACUUGGAAUUCAGCACCUGCUUUCAGUAUAAACCCCUGCAUUUCACUAAAACUGAGCAGACUGCUGGUUUAAAAAAGAGAGGUCCAUCCAGCAGGGAUGAUGCUUUUCCUCGUUGAAAGAGGACAUUCACCUAAUGGGAGACCUGGAGUCAGAAUCUUUCUGAUGUGUGACUUGGCACAGUAACACAAUGCAGGAUGCUGGUGUGUUAAUAAAAAUAAAAAUUGCAUCGCCUACCUCAGAGUCGACAACAAUGUCAAGGAGUUAAUAGUCUUGGCAACACAGAGGCCACUGGACAGAGGCAUAACCUUGCGUGGCAGCUGCACGGGAAUUGGAUUUGGCUCAGGUGUUUCAGAUGACUAAGUUGGGAGCAUUUGACAAUUUUAGAUGUGGGAUGAAAAUUGCCUUAUCUAAGACAUAGGGCACCUGCAGAAGUAAAGAGAAACAGAACAAAGGGGACCACUCUUGGUAUAGAAGUUCAUCUCGUCGGGAGCAUCUGUGGUUCUUUUAUAAGCAAUGUACAUUCUACAAUAGAGGCAGACCCAGAAAUAAUUCAGAUAUUGGAGUUAGAAGAUCAGGAUUCUAAAAAAACCAAAAGAUCCUGCCUUACUAUGCACCUAUGGCCCUUCAAAGGCGAGAGUAGAAUCUGCUAUGAUUUAGAAGCAAGCAAUAAAAAGUACACAUCAGAAUUGGAGCCUGCACAGAUGUAGAAGGAGGCAUGAAGAGGGUAUUGGAGGAUUGCCCACUAUGCAGUCUGCAUCCUGAGUCUGUGGUGAGGCUGGACACGUUCAAGCUUACAGGAGAACUGGAGAAAGCAAGCAACACAGCGGUGGAAGUGAGACCACUGAAGCAGGGACAAGAGUGGAGGAGACAAACUGGACUCGGAACAAACUGGGAGCCUCUGCAUCCAUCCGUAACUGUCUGGCCGUGACAGUGGUUAGAGAGGAGUGGCUUCUGUGAAACUCUCACAAUCUCAAAUCUCCCACAAGUGCCUCUUUCAGCUAACUCUAAACUGGUACCAUAGAGGAAAUGGAUUCUGAAAACUUGGUCUCCAACCUUAGACAAAUUGAAUAAUUAAUAUGUCCUCUCCUGCUUCUUCUGUAACUGAAUUUGCAUUGGGAAGCAGGCCUGUCACUCUCAGACUUUGUGGUUUGAGUAGGGCUCACUUCAGCACCACCUUUUCCUCUUCUCAGCCCCACGGACUGGCAUGAGACUCAGGCCUGGCCAACUGAAUGUCACACACCUAUGACCAUCAGUUGGCUCAGAGAUGGACUCAGGACACCAUCACAGCCAAUGAAACCCUGUUAGGGAAAUUUGUCAGAACCAUACAAAGAAAUAGCUCCACUUUUCCAUAGAGAUGAGACAUAAGCCUGGACUAACUGGUGUCCAAUUUGCCAUCAAGAGAGCAUCUGAGAAGACAGAGGAAAACUGGGGAAAGCGAAGUCUAAGGAAGGUGAGUAAGGACAAGUCCAGUUGAUAUUACAUGAAUCACCUGGACCUGGAAAUCAAGGCAUUGCUGGAUUCAAGGCCAAGAAAAAUUGGAAGCUGGCUUGAAUCAGGUUCUAUCACUUGCAGUUGAAAAGGUCCAGACUAAUAUGAUAACAAAGGAGCAAGUAAGCAAGAUUCUGCCCUACAGGUGCCUAGAGACUUCACCUCUAUUUCCAUGAGGGACUGAACAGCCUCUUGAGAAGGGACUCAUCAAAAUGGAAGAGUUGGCAAUAAGAAGUUUGGCUAAAUAACCAAGCACUGAAGUUGCAGAGGAGAAAGGAUUUGAAAGGCAGUACAGUGUCCAGGGGCAAGUUGGCAAUUUUUAGCAGGAGGUGAAGUGAUGCCAGCAGAGGUAACAGUGCUCAGAGGGACCAGUAGUCCCCAGGAGGAGCAGGGGAAUCCCCAGUGGAUCUGAUUUGUUCAAGAGCACAUGUGAGAUUAUCAGCUGGCGUUACAAUUUUGGAGUGGCAGUGAGAAGCAGUGAAUUUGAGGUCACUCAAUUUGCAGACCCCAAAGGGUGAAAUGUUGAGAAACAUGAGUUACACAUGUAUUUAACAGCUCUUGUGUAUUAUCACAAAUCCUAUUUCACCUCUCAUGCCCCCGAGGCUUUGGUGUCCAGUUCUCUGAAGACUUCAUCAAUCCUCAGCCAUAAAUCACCUGAGAGCAACUCACCUUGCUUCAUACUAUGAAGCUCCCUGAUGUCACAGCAUGGCAGGCCUGUGGCAACCCCUCAACACUUAUGCAUGAUCCCAAACAGCUAGAGGAUUAACACCUACGGUGUAACCCUUGACCAGCAGGAAAUGGAAAUUACUGUCUUUUUGUCCCCGCAGGUGAAUGGUUCUAAAAUGCAUUUUAUAAGCCUUCUGAAAUAGUCCCACAGGUCAAGCACCUACUUGCUCCAGUGGUGACCAACUCAAUGAUGCAUCCUUGGGUUGACUCUCCCUCCUUUCCAGUUCACUUUCCCCGCCCCUCACUCCUGCACCUCAGCAUCACAUUCCUGAAUAAACCACUCACACAUCUGUCUUAUUUCAGACUCUGUUUGGGGGAAUCCACAAUAAAAAUUUGUCAUUUUGAGUUAAACAUUGCUCUCACCUUGAAGACAUAUUUCCAUACCUAGAGAUUUCUGAAGUUCUCUCCCUUUUCCUAUCAUCUCCUUUGUGCUUUGUCUGACCUCCAUGUUACAGAGCCCCAUGAUAUUUAGAGCCAGUACUGCUAGGGAAGUAGUUCAGUUGUGUUUUAAAUGGUUCAGCAACUUGUAACAUCAACUGAGAACCAGAGGAAUACACUUGGAGGCCAAGAAAAAAAUGUUAGCUAAUAUGUACCAUACAGUAUGAUUCCUUGGGUAAGGGAAAGUAUAUGCAAGUGACAGAGGAAAAUUGAAAGUUGUAGCCCUUUUUUGGACUUUAGAUUUGGAAUUAAAGUUUCUCUUCUCUUGAAAGACCUUCUUUUUGUGGAUAAUGAUGAAUCUGAAGACCAGAACAGUGGGCCAAUUUGCCUUAGUUGAGAGUGGCAAAUAAAUGAAGAACUGAAGAACGUAUCUCUUUAACUAGUGCUCCUUUGUUGAGAAGAUACAAAACAAACAAUUGAAGGGUAUGGAUGAAGCCAUUGGCUUAUUCAUGUCUCUGUUGAUCAUAAUGAGAUUAAUAUAUAUAGGACAUUCACACAAAGAGGAUAUUGACUCGAUGGCUUACAGAUUAUUAGAGUUAGAAAUGUGACCUACUACUAAAGGAAGAAUGUUUCAGGUGUGGAUCUCUGAUUUAAAAAAUACACCACACUUGCCUCAGUGAAGCAAGUCAACUUAGGUGCUGAUACAAUGCCACUGCAGCUGUGCUGAGUUCAUGAAAUCAGAUCCCACUCUCUUCACCUACCCCUACCGUAUUCAUCCUACUUUCCGUCUGCUCUGCCCUUCCCAUUUGGUAACCUAGUCAUGAAACACCUGGCUCUGGGUCCUUCCUUCAGCAUCACUCCACGUUGUACUGCUGGCAUCGCUUUUCUUGGCACAGAACCUCUUAGGGCUGCUAUCCUAGGAGUAGGUGCUACUCAGGCUGGCUUAGUCCCAGGCUUCACUCACUUCUUGGCCCAUGGCCAGGAGGACCGGAAAGAACAAACUCUCUGCACAUCUCUGCAGGUGGCCACAGAGCCCCCAUCUGAGCCUUGCUGAUGGAGAAGAGCAUGCUGCAUCACAAGAUAACUGUGUGGCUCUGUUCAAAAACCUUGUUUAGAAGUUAUUAUUUCUUUUAUUGCAUUAGAAUUUGCCUCACUGUAGCUUUUGUGCUUCUGUCCUGGUUCAGCCUUAGAUAGCAGUGCAGCCUGGUCCAUGUGAAAGCUCUUGCAAUAGGCCUUUCUGCUAGUCAGGAGUUCUCAGACCCAUCCCUACUCUUCACUUUUCUCAAGACUAAUAUCAGACUCCUGGGCUCUUCAAGGUUUCCUCAUAUGAUAAAAGUUCUAAGCCCUCCAUUGUCCUAGUCACUGUCCUCUCUGUUCCAUCCCUGUCUGCCCUUCCAAGAUGCUGCACCUGGAGAUGAAUUUGUCCUUCCUGGGGCAAGUCACCAUGAGAUGAUUACUUUUGGAUCAUACUGAAUUUGUGGGUUAAAUAAACUCAUAGGUCUUUAUCUCAUGCACUAAAUCCAAAUUCGAUCUCUUGCCGUAAAUCAUUUUUUUGAAUAGCUGAACAAUAAGUAAAUAAUACACAAAUGAAAACUAAUCAAUAUUUGAACAUCCUCAGUAUUUUCAGCCCUAGUUUGAGCCAGACAUAGCUCAUCUUGUAUACUUCACUAAGGACACUUUAUACGAUCAAGCAAUUAAUAUUAUGAUGUCAUGUCUCGCAAGCCCCAUAGUGUCACUUCCAGUCUCUUCACCACAAAGAACGUUGAAGCCUUCGUAUUUUUUUGAAAAUCAUAUUUCUAGCUGCAGGAUGGGAUGUAAGAAAAGUUCAGAUUAGGAUUAUUCUAGGCUCCUGACUAUAACUAAAAUCCUGAUUUUUUAUGGAAAGGAAUGAGGAUCAUUCCUUCAAAUUAGAUUUUUGUGAUAAAAAGAAAAAAGUUGGUAAUCUAUUCAAAAUUGUAACAAAAAUAACUGCAUUUUUCUUUGGAAAAUAAUAGUUGAUUCCUUUUUGCUUUUUUUACUUAUGAAUUGGGGUGCAAUAGAGUUUAAUAAAAAUGAUGUGAAACACUCUUAUAAGGCUAAUUUAUCACAUUUGCUUCAAGGAAUUGUCCUUUCUAACAAAAUUGUGAAAUGGAACUGAACAGUAGCAUGAUGAGGCCUCUACCAGGAGGAGGUACAGAACAAGGCAGGAGGUCAGUGGUUAAAGGACUCCUUGCUUAUGCUCAAGAAAUGUGGACCUUAUUAGAGGUGACACAGUGAAAUCAGUCACCUGAUUUCGCAGGUGACUGUGGAGCAAGAAUGCAAAUCCACAAUAUUAGGAUGAAUGUGAGAGGAGAAGGGAAGGAGGCCAUGAGGGAAAAAAGGACAUCUAAUUGGGUCUGAAAGGAAGGGUAGAAUUUAAGUAAAGAGCACUGUGUACAUAUGGGAAUACCAUGUACUUUCUCAUGGAGAGAGGCCUUCUGACAGUCCUGCAUUGAUCCUGCUUCUUUGACCAUCCCUUGUUAGCCAGCAGGUCAUUUGGCCUCACUAGUUGCCUCAGUGCUGAGUGAUAGACUCAGCAGUCCCCAGCCUCUUUGGCACCAGGGACUGGUUUUGUGGAAGAUAAUUUUUCCAUGGAUCAGGGAGAGGAUGGUUUCAGGAGGAUUUAAGUGCAUUACAUUUACUGCGCACUUUAUUUCUAAUAUUAUUACAUUGUAAUCUAUAAUGAAAUAAUUAUACAAUUCACCAUAAUGUAGAAUCAGUGGGUGCCCUGAGCUUGUUUUCCUGCAACUAGAUGGUCCCAUCUGGGGGUGAUGGGAGACAGUGACAGAUCAUCAGGCAUUAGAUUCUCAUAAGGAAUGCACAACCUAGAUUCUUCACAUGUGCAGUUCACCAUGAGGUUCACGCUCCUAUGAGAAGCUAAUGCCUCCGCUUAAACGACACAGGAGAUGGAGCUCAGGUAGUAAUGAGUGAAAUGGGGAGCAGCUGUCAAUACAGAUGAAGCUUUGCUUGCUUGCUUGCCGCUCACCACCUGCUGUGCAGCCUGGUUCCUAACUGGUACUGGUCAGUGGCCUGUGGUUGGGAACUCCUGGUAGACUAACAACAGAACAAAGCCAAGUCUCAAGGAGAGACAGUUGUAUAGAUGCCUUCCUGCCCAUUCUCUGUUGUGGGGGCCAAAUCACACAAGACCUGCAUUUAAUUCUUUAUGGGCUUAGGCUGUGAAUUAAUGUAAAAUCUCAAGAAACCAAGAUGACAGGCCAGGGACUAAAGAGCAAAAGAAAGACCACAGCUAUGGUGGGCGAGGAGACAAAGUCAAUCCCACCGGGACAGAUGGUGAUGACCCUUAUCAGUUCUAUUCUGUCAUCUCAUAAAGGUAAAGACUUGUGUUCUUUUUCUUAGGACAGUCCAGAUGGUAUUGGCUGUGCUUAAAGAAAAUUCAGACAUGUGUGAGUGUGGCUGGAAUUGACAUUCAUGAGGUCUUCCGUUUUUAUUUGAAAGGGGCAGAGUAAGUAUUUGUGAACAUUGGAUGGUGAUGAAGAAAAGGAAAUGGUGUCUAGUAUCCUACCUGGCCUCAUGGACCAAGACUAGAAGGAUUAGAGGCAAAGUCGAAGGAAGCUGCCACCAUAAAGGGUUCUGUGAAUGCUGUUUGGCUGAAAUGUGUGACAAAGCACUGGGAAGGGUUUCAUUGCAUUAGCUCAGGCCAUAGCACGACCCUUAACCAACACCUUAAGGUGAUGGUCCCCUUGGCAUAAAUAUUGGUGUUAAAAUCGAGGUUAACCUUAGUGAUAGUAUGGUUAAGAGUCCCCUGCAUGACUUUGGAAGUUGAAGAUGCUGAUCAGGAGAACUAGAGCAGGAAAGAGAAAAUAUGACUGAGGCUAAGUGGUGACUUGGUAUUGACUGAUAGGUGAACACAGGAAUGAAUUUCAGCGAGAACCCCCAGUAACUGUCUGGGGAGUGGAGACUGUGUAUGAACAGGACAGAAAAAAAAGCAGAUUCGGGUAGUGUCCUGUCGUGUGUCUCUUUUACAGUCCUGAAAUGAAGGACUUUCAGUGUUUUCAUUGAGCACCAAUCAAUUCCCUCUUUACAAAAGACCAUAUUGGAACAGCAUCAAGGUUUAGGGAUAUUAAAGCAAUACAGUGACACUGGAAUGACCACUGAGAACCAGCGAACUUCUUCAGCCCUUAUAUCCUCAGGCACUCUGGAAGCCAUGAAUCUGGUUUUCUUGCUAAACUGUGUGUACUGCACAGAGUACAAUGGUAAAGGAACAAAUAUUGGCUCUAAAAUCUCUUGUAAAGGGAAGGGUGGUCAUCCCUUUAGAUGGCAAAUUGAGUUUCUGUAAUGGGGUUUGCUCUGAUGUUGCAUUUCCACUCAGGCAUCAAGACAUUCUGUUGUUUAAAGCCCUAGAUGGGUGAUAUUUCUUUCAUGUGCAAGGCCCGAAUGCUUCACUGAGCUCUCUCUUACCCACACACACUCAUUUAAACCUUGGUCAAAAUUAUCCUUUAGCAUCUGCAUCUUCUCAGAAGGCGGAAGGGUCAAUGGGGAUAAUCAGGAGAGAUGAGGUGCACUUUCAGAAGUUGGAGCUGAGAAGGUGAUGGAAGUAUCUGUAAAGUCGUUGAACAGCUGCACGAACUAUAGGGGAAGCAUUUCUGGAGGCAAAAGGGGAAUAGCCCUUUCCUCUUAAACCAAAGCGAGCACAGCUCCAAAGGCACUUAGAUGGAGAGUUCAUCGGAAUGUGAGCUCUAAGAGUGGCUGAGAAUCUGACAAAAACAGCCAUCUGCCAACCCAAAAUUAAAACUCCUCUGUUUAGCACCCAGUAGAGAAAGUCAACCAGAUUGACUUCGCAAACAAAGGACCUUAAAAGCAUCACCUAAGAAAGUGUGUCAGGAUCCACAGACAUCCAGAGCAUUCUCUAUGGUUCAUUACUUACAUUAUUCUUAUCUAUUUACACAUAAUGUUUAGAUGUAAAAUCCUUACAAUGAAAAGGGUGUAUAUGCUUUAAAAAAGGCACAACAGGGAUCUAGAACUAGAAAUACCAUUUGACCCAGCCAUCCCAUUACUGGGUAUAUACCCAAAUGAGUAUAAAUCAUGCUGCUAUAAAG
rnacentral:lncRNA from 1 species